UUAAAAACUAUGAAAAAGGAAAGUAGCAUAUUGGAACGUUAACAGAGAGGAAAGGAAGCUGAGAACUUUCUAUCAGGAAACUAUGUGAAGUGCCCUUUGGAGUUGAAAUCUGAAUAGUAGUAAGAUUCUCCGGGUUCACCCGUUAUAGUGAUAGGCAUGAUUAGUGCUCGAUUUGAGGUGGGAUUAUAUUAAUCCAAUUAGAGUGGGACCGCGAAGUAACUUCGUCUCUAUA
rnacentral:ncRNA from 1 species